AAAUGAAUAGACGGGGACCCGCACAAGCGGUGGAUGAUGUGGAUUAAUUCGAUGCAACGCGAAAAACCUUACCUACCCUUGACAUGCCAGGAAUGCGCGAGAGAUUGCGCGGUGCCUUCGGGAACCUGGACACAGGUGCUGCAUGGCUGUCGUCAGCUCGUGUCGUGAGAUGUUGGGUUAAGUCCCGCAACGAGCGCAACCCUUGUCAUUAGUUGCCAUCAUUUGGUUGGGCACUUUAAUGAGACUGCCGGUGACAAGCCGGAGGAAGGUGGGGAUGACGUCAAGUCCUCAUGGCCCUUAUGGGUAGGGCUUCACACGUCAUACAAUGGCCGGUACAGAGGGAAGCGAAGCCGCGAGGCGGAGCUGAUCCUUCAAAGCCGGUCGUAGUCCGGAUUGCAGUCUGCAACUCGACUGCAUGAAGUCGGAAUCGCUAGUAAUCGCGGAUCAGCAUGUCGCGGUGAAUACGUUCCCGGGUCUUGUACACACCGCCCGU
rnacentral:rRNA from 1 species